rnacentral:rRNA from 1 species
UUUAUAUAUUUUUUUUUUUCCCUCUAUCAGGAUGAACGCUGGCGGCGUGCCUAAUACAUGCAAGUCGAACGAGUUCUCGUUGAUGAUCGGUGCUUGCACCGAGAUUCAACAUGGAACGAGUGGCGGACGGGUGAGUAACACGUGGGUAACCUGCCCUUAAGUGGGGGAUAACAUUUGGAAACAGAUGCUAAUACCGCAUAGAUCCAAGAACCGCAUGGUUCUUGGCUGAAAGAUGGCGUAAGCUAUCGCUUUUGGAUGGACCCGCGGCGUAUUAGCUAGUUGGUGAGGUAACGGCUCACCAAGGCGAUGAUACGUAGCCGAACUGAGAGGUUGAUCGGCCACAUUGGGACUGAGACACGGCCCAAACUCCUACGGGAGGCAGCAGUAGGGAAUCUUCCACAAUGGACGCAAGUCUGAUGGAGCAACGCCGCGUGAGUGAAGAAGGCUUUCGGGUCGUAAAACUCUGUUGUUGGAGAAGAAUGGUCGGCAGAGUAACUGUUGUCGGCGUGACGGUAUCCAACCAGAAAGCCACGGCUAACUACGUGCCAGCAGCCGCGGUAAUACGUAGGUGGCAAGCGUUAUCCGGAUUUAUUGGGCGUAAAGCGAGCGCAGGCGGUUUUUUAAGUCUGAUGUGAAAGCCCUCGGCUUAACCGAGGAAGCGCAUCGGAAACUGGGAAACUUGAGUGCAGAAGAGGACAGUGGAACUCCAUGUGUAGCGGUGAAAUGCGUAGAUAUAUGGAAGAACACCAGUGGCGAAGGCGGCUGUCUGGUCUGUAACUGACGCUGAGGCUCGAAAGCAUGGGUAGCGAACAGGAUUAGAUACCCUGGUAGUCCAUGCCGUAAACGAUGAAUGCUAGGUGUUGGAGGGUUUCCGCCCUUCAGUGCCGCAGCUAACGCAUUAAGCAUCCGC